rnacentral:rRNA from 1 species
AACGAACGCUGGCGGCGUGGCUAAGGCAUGCAAGUCGAACGGACCUAUUCAACGGGUAACUGAAGAGUAGGUCAGUGGCGAACGGGUGAGGAAUUCAUGGAUAACGUGCCCCGGACUCAGGGAUAGCGUUGUGAAAACGACGGUAAUACCUGAUGACCCCGUACGGACCGCCAUGGUCCCGCCGGGCGAAAGACUCCGACGGUCCGGGAGCGAUUCAUGCCCUACUCAGCUAGUUGGUGAGGAACGGCUCACCAAGGCGGCGACGGGUAUCGGGCGUGAGAGCGUGACCCGACACAUCGGAACUGAGAUACGGUCCGGACACCUACGGGUGGCUGCAGCAACGAAUAUUCCGCAAUGGACGAAAGUCUGACGGAGCGACGCCGCGUGCAGGAAGAAGU